CUGGAAAGGCUGGAAACACCUCUCCAUCUUACACAGAGACCAUCACCAUCACGGCUCGUCUGAGGAGUUAUUUCUGUACAUAUGUAUAUAGUUUUUUUAAAUUAUUGAGAUACACAGGUCAGCGUUUUCAGUGCGUCUUGCACUUUUCUUUAUUUCUUGGUGCUGGCCUGUUUUUUUUGAUAUGACUGCAAGGAAUAGAAGACUGACUGUAUUAUAUAAUCUGCGCAAAAAUGAACCAAUAAUCCAUGAAGACGGUGCAAAGUGUAAAUUAUCAUCUGCUGCAUCUCAGACAUUGGCGAGAAUGAACAAUGUGAAGAGAAGUCUGAACAGACCAACGGCCUGCCAGAGAAAUCCUCCUCCAAGCGCUCCGCUUCUCCAUCCGUGGAGCUGCAGCUCAACCCUGGCCAGCUGCAGCUUGACGGUCUACCUCUGGGGGCUGGAGCUGCAGGCCCUGGUCUACGAGUGGCCCAGGUACGACUGUUGGACCGCAGAACCAGCCGCAGGCCAAGCAGCCGACCUGGGAGUCCAAAUUCCAACACUUCAUCCACCCCAACCCCCUCAGAGGAGCAGAAUGAUGGAGAGGAGGAGGCAGCAGAGCCCGAGGAUGAAGUUCAGGGUGCAGAGCUCGAGCGUUCUACAGUUUCUGCUCCGACCCUGUGACUCCUCAAGAGGCCCUUUCAGCUCCUAAUAGCAGCUGCUAUGGAGAGAAACCCCAUUCAAUUUCAGCUGGAUUCAGGAUGUCAUCGCUCUCCAGUGCAGUAUCAUGUGACACCUAUCCAUCAAACAGAAGGCCUCAUCAACAGAGUGGGACUUUGAGAAGCAAAUACACAAUCAAGUGGACCAUCAGAGGACAUGAAAACUCAGGCCUCAUUAGAAAGGACUUCUUCCCCUGAUGCCUGCUCUAAAGCUUGCAGUACACCCAGUGACUCCCAGGGGGCCUCUCUUUCCAAGGACAGCCCAUCAGGGCUAGUUCUUUGCAAAUGCACCGUGACACCAUGUCAGAACUGUAGGAAACCUAAUGGACCUCUGGAAUUGGUUCAGCCUCCCAGAGCCAAUGGACCUGUAGACUGUAACAGUGCCUCAGAUUCCUGCAGGCAGGCUGAGCUACAGAACAGACUGAAGCCUGGGAAAACGCCAUCAGACUCAGCUUCUGCCUCUGCACUGGUGAACCACAUAGGAACAGAAAUGGUUAAGAAGGAACCCGAGA
ensembl:lncRNA